UACGUAGGCAGCAAGCGUUGUUCGGAGUUACUGGGCGUAAAGGGUGCGUAGGCGGCUUUUUAAGUUUGGUGUGAAAUCUCCCGGCUCAACUGGGAGGGUGCGCCGAAUACUGAGAGGCUAGAGUGUGGGAGAGGAAAGUGGAAUUCCUGGUGUAGCGGUGAAAUGCGUAGAUAUCAGGAGGAACACCGGUGGUGUAAACGGCUUUCUGGACCAUAACUGACGUUGAGGCACGAAAGCGUGGGUAGCAAACAGG
rnacentral:rRNA from 1 species